UGCUGGGAUUACAGAUAUGUACCACCACACCUGGCUGGAAGUCCUGUUUCAUCUUCAUGAGGUGUGAUCAAAAAUUGGUGAAUGCUCCUGCCAAGUGGCAUCCAGGGGAAAGGCAGCCUUGUGAAAACAUCAAGCAGCAGCCCUCAGCCCCGUAAUCCAGUCGCCUGCCGAGACGCCUGCCUGCGAGUGCACGGAGCUCUGGGGGACAUCUGGGCAUAAACCCACAAGAGAACCAUUUUGGAUCCACUUCGGCAGCCGUGGCAGCAAAACAGAAGAACUCAUGAGAAAGGACUCCCCAGCUGCUUCGUGAGCUGGCAGGGGUGGUGGUGGGGUAACUGUGCUGAGAGCCAGGGCAGGUGUCUUGAGGGAGGCUAAUGGCAAUAAAUUAAAAAAAUGUAAACAGUCA